UUCACGCGCUGCUCUCCAUCUAGCAAGAGGGGAUUGACACUAAGUAAACACAUUCUGCAGGCACGAACAAAAGAUUGAAGCAAGAAAGCCAUGCCUACCCAUUGCUACGACGUCCCUUUUGUUGUCAUCCUGAAAGCUGAACUGUGACAUAAGGCCAAAGAGAGAAAGACCAUGUAAAAAACACUCGAAGCCUUAGAACCAUCUCUUGGCGACCACUUCCACAAAUAGCCGCCACCUUCUACACUUACUGCAAAGUGCCGCAGAUACGCCUCGUCAGCCGCCACCUUCUACACUUACUGCAAAGUGCCGCAGAUACGCCUCGUCAGCCGCCACCUUCUACACUUACUGCAAAGUGCCGCAGAUACGCCUCGUCAGCCGCCACCUUCUACACUUACUGCAAAGUGCCGCAGAUACGCCUCAAUAGCCGCCACCUUCUACACUUACUGCAAAGUGCCGCAGAUACGCCUCGUCAGCGGCCGACCACAGCUCCUUCCUGAAAGACCUCUCACUCCGAUGCGACGACUUCGUGUGGAUGUCAGAGUAGGAAGUCUCUCCUAGCAACAUCGACAGCAGUAGUGAUCAGGUAUUAAGAAUUCCCCUGUGGAACAGAGGAACACAAGUUUUUAGUAAGCUCACAUACGUUCGACCAGUCAAGCUCAGGGGCGAUAAACAGAAAGAUACCAUUCAUGCCUUGACCAGAAACCAAGCCCGUUUCAGCAGAGGUGAGAGGUACGGCUGCGCCCUAACUCACUGGGGUACCUGUGGUUCUACUGAGUCAGAGGUGAGAGGUACGGCCGCGCCCUAACUCACUGGGGUACCUGUGAUUCUACUGAGUCAGAGGUGAGAGGUACGGCCGCGCCCUAACUCACUGGGGUACCUGUGGUUCUACUGAGUCAGAGGUGAGAGGUACGGCUGCGCCCUAACUCACUGGGGUACCUGUGGUUCUACUGAGUCAGAGGUGAGAGGUACGGCUGCGCCCUAACUCACUGGGGUACCUGUGAUUCUACUGAGUCAGAGGUGAGAGGUACGGCCGCGCCCUAACUCACUGGGGUACCUGUGAUUCUACUGAGUCAGAGGUGAGAGGUACGGCCGCGCCCUAACUCACUGGGGUACCUGUGAUUCUACUGAGUCAAAAUACAGCACUCACCCAGUGGUUCGGGUCGAUGAUGGGGCCAGUGGGUACGUGGGUUUCCAGCCGCUUCACAAAGUCAUUCCAAGACUUCUCAGCCUGGAUAAAGGUUAACAACAUCUCACUGUUGUUUAUCGCUCAUAGAAACCAUAGAGCACUUUGAGUACACUAUACAACUAUAGUGGCAUUUGUCUACACGUAACACACAUCCGUGGGAUGCAAAAUCAGUAAAACCAUGAGUGUGUUUUAACUAAUCCUAAACUUAAAUUUUUCUAAAAAAGACAGUGUGCCAGUCAAACAUUAUAAUUCAAAAAUAAUUAAGCUAGAUUACUUCACUCAAGGUAAUCUAUUAAAGUUAUAAAAAAACUUCCAAGUAUUCAACUAUUUCAAAUAAGAUUGCAAUGGAGAAUCCACGUGUUGUAACCUGCAGUGCUUCAUUGGUAACAAAUAAACGAUUUCUGAACGCCAUGUGAAUGUUCACAGGCAAGAAACAAGAGUGUUACAGAUUUCAAGACUUGUAUGUUUACGCUUGUUUAUUUAUACACACGGAUUCUCCGAGUGUAAUAAGCGAGUGCAAGUUCUCACAUGAGGCAGAUAAAAUCGUGGUUUAAAAGUCUCUGUCAGCCAACAUUUUGUCAGCCUUGCACAUUACUAGGGGGAAUCCAAUUCAAUCGCCUGAUUUGAGUUGUUCAGACAUUUGCGAUUGAAUUCGGUGAAUGAAGUAUAUUCAAAUAAUGUGUCUUCCAUUGUUGAAUGAAAACAAUAGCAACUGUGUGGCUGACGAGGGCUCUUUAAAUAUCAUGGCGGAAAUCAAGUAAAUGAACAUGGUACGAAAUACUUUCCACACCCAUACAGUUUAUUAUGUUCACUCCUAUUUUAAUUGACAAAACUGAAAUGCAGAGUUCAUGCUUCUGGUUACUCCAUGCAUGUGUCCUAGAUUUGCAAACUAAAAACGCAAAUAAUCAGUAGGAAGUGACUCGACCCGAGUGACGACCAGAUUACAUCAAAUGUGCUCGAGGGGCAGUUUGGACAAUUAAAAUAAUAUGGAUCUUAGCGAUUGUAUGUGUGUCGCCUCGUAGUUAUCGUUCUACAAGCUUGGCGCCUAACUAUAAAACCUAGCGACUGUAUGUAUGUCGCGUCGUAGUUAUCAUUCUACAAGCUUGGCGCCUAACUAUAAAACCUGGCGAUUUAUGCCCUGGCCAUCUCCAUAAAUCUCUAUAUUUCCCCCGAAAAACAAAUAAGUCAUUAUGCAAAAAUAAAAAUACACAUUUUUAUAUAAAGAAGGAAUGUAAAGAAGGAAUUGCGAAAUAAAAUUUGUUUUCUUAUAGAUUU